GUGGGGAAUAUUGCACAAUGGGCGAAAGCCUGAUGCAGCAACGCCGCGUGAGGGACGACGGCCUUCGGGUUGUAAACCUCUUUUAGUAGGGAAGAAGCGAAAGUGACGGUACCUGCAGAAAAAGCACCGGCUAACUACGUGCCAGCAGCCGCGGUAAUACGUAGGGUGCAAGCGUUAUCCGGAAUUAUUGGGCGUAAAGAGCUCGUAGGCGGUCUGUCGCGUCUGCUGUGAAAACUGGAGGCUCAACCUCCAGCCUGCAGUGGGUACGGGCAGACUAGAGUGCCGUAGGGGAGAUUGGAAUUCCUGGUGUAGCGGUGGAAUGCGCAGAUAUCAGGAGGAACACCGAUGGCGAAGGCAGAUCUCUGGGCCGUAACUGACGCUGAGGAGCGAAAGCGUGGGGAGCGAACAGGAUUAGAUACCCUGGUAGGCC
rnacentral:rRNA from 1 species